rnacentral:tRNA from 1 species
GGGGGAUUAGCUCACUUGGCUAGAGCGCUACGCUGGCAGCGUAGAGGUAACCGGUUCGAUUCCGGUAUUCUCCA